GCAAAAGUGUGGCGACCGAUAAUAAUUAUGCCUAGAAAAAGGAAGCCUAAAUUUACCCUUAGUCAAUCUUUCAAUGGCUGGAAACCAUUAAGCCUCUUGUCUUUUCAUUUCACCCGUCCCAUCUGCUCUAUCCGUCUAACGAUUGCAUUGCCCAAUGUUUUCUUUCUUUGCUAUCUACUUUUAAAACAAAAUCUCCUAUUAUCUUCUUAAUUGUUCUGUGAUACCACCAUUAUGGCGAUUCAUCUCUACAUCCUCCAGGUAAGCUAUUUCACUUCUCUUCAAUGUUUCAUUCGUAAUAUUGUGAGAGCACUCAUGUUCUUCAUUUUUUGGAUGUGCCUGAACUCUAUCUUCUAGAAGCACGAUUUCUUAGCUUGAAUGUCUCUGAUAAUUGCUCCAAUAACUAAAUAAUCGAUUAUGGUUGAUUGGCAUUUCUUUAUCACUGUUAGUGAAUUUGCCUGUAUUUGUAUUUCCUGAAAGUCCAUUUCGAUUCCUAACUUAACUGCUUCUAAUCCUGCAUAUGCUUCUGCUGCAAACGGAGAUGCAAUAUUAUAAUGAAGAAUCGGUUUUGAGGCCAAGUACUCGUUCGUCGUUCCCCAAACCACCAGCCCAGUCGCUGAUCUGAAGUUUCUGGUAUCAAACACAGAAUCAAACUAGAUUUUUAUACUCGGUAGGUUCUCUACAGUUCUUUGAUUAUACACCAUAUUCGAUAGGCUCUUCUUUGCUCUAACCCCUUCAUAUUUUGCUAUGUGGUUCUGGACUUUUUGUGCGAGAUCUUUGUCUGUUGAGUAUAAUCUUUCAUGUGUAAGCUGAUUCCUUGAGUACCAAAGCAACAAUAAAGUAUAACAAAAAUAUCUGCACUGUUCAUCUGUUCAUUGUUUGAAAACUGCGUUGACAAGAAUAACCCUACUCAAGACUACAUAACAGGCUGAAUUCGGGUUUAGCUCAGUUUGGGUUGAAUUCCAAUAUGUAUAUGAAGAUUGUAAGGCAAGAAAUUAUAUAUAGUUUUUCAACUCACCUCAGGCAUUUCAUCUGUUGAUAACUUUGAUGUCCCUGCUUUGGGAAAUUUUGUUACAUCAACAUAGUUGGAUCUACCUGUUUGCCCCAUAGCUUCUAUUCUUUUAACCUUCCUUAUUACUCCCUGUAAGCUCUCAACUCUAUCUAUCAAUGGCAUCACGGCCAGGUCGAAAACGCCGCCAUAAAGCCGAAGCCUAAGUCUAUCACUUCCCCAACAACCACCCUGUGUUGAACGUAUAAUGCUUGUCAUGUUGUUGAUCAUGGCUUAUGCUUCUCCUAAACAGUCGAGCGAAAAGAUUAAUGAGGACUGCCAACGGCCAAAACGCUUCAAUUUAAAAAAGGAGUCGUCUACAUGGGGAAGGGAUGAACAUGCACCCUUGAAAACACAGAGACGUGUGGUCAGGAUCUAUAGAUAUUCAGGUAUUGGUUUGUUUGUAAUUGCAAUUCAUAAUAUAUAUGGUGGAUAUGUUUCUUAUGGUAAACGUCAGUAUCCUCAGUUUUGUUCCUUUCUUCACUCUUUUGAUGUUUGAAGGCUGCCAUUGGCAUCUUGUCCUAGAAGAUGUUGAAGUUUAAUUAUUAUGUGUUUAAAAUAUUCAUUUAUCUCUAUUUGUUUUUAAA